rnacentral:lncRNA from 1 species
CGCGCCUCGGUGCCCUGAGGCCCGCAGUCCUCCCGGCGGCUCAGCCCGGCCUGGGGCGAGGGCGGUGGCCGGAUCCGGCGGCCGCGCUUUACACAAAUCCCAAGGAACCUGAGGUAAGGAGAUACACAUAGAAGUGGACAGUAUAUUUAUAUUGUAUAUGAAUAUGUUUACCUGCAUGGAGGCCAUAGAUUAUAUUUUUUAG